rnacentral:rRNA from 1 species
UACGGAAGGUCCGGGCGUUAUCCGGAUUUAUUGGGUUUAAAGGGAGCACAGGCGGAGGGUCAAGUCAGCCGUAAAAUCGUCCUGCUCAACAGGAUCCCGCGGUUGAAACUGGUCCCCUUGGGUGCACAAGAGGCACGCGGAACUCGUGGUGUAGCGGUGAAAUGCAUAGAUAUCACGAAGAACGCCGAUUGCGAAGGCAGCGUGCUGGGGUGUAACCGACGCUCAUGCUCGAAGGCGCGGGUAUCAAACA